rnacentral:rRNA from 1 species
AGAGUUUGAUCCUGGCUCAGGAUGAACGCCGACAGAAUGCUUAACACAUGCAAGUCUACUUGAUCCUUCGGGUGAUGGUGGCGGACGGGUGAGUAACGCGUAAAGAACUUGCCUUGCAGUCUGGGACAACGUCUGGAAACGGACGCUAAUACCGGAUAUUAUGAUUGAAUCGCAUGAUUUGAUUAUGAAAGCUAUAUGCGCUGCGAGAGAGCUUUGCGUCCCAUUAGUUAGUUGGUGAGGUAACGGCUCACCAAGACGAUGAUGGGUAGCCGGCCUGAGAGGGUGAACGGCCACAAGGGGACUGAGACACGGCCCUUACUCCUACGGGAGGCAGCAGUGGGGAAUAUUGGACAAUGGACCAAAAGUCUGAUCCAGCAAUUCUGUGUGCACGAUGAAGUUUUUCGGAAUGUAAAGUGCUUUCAGUUGGGAAGAAGAAAGUGACGGUACCAACAGAAUAAGCACCGGCUAACUACGUGCCAGCAGCCGCGGUAAUACGUAGGGUGCAAGCGUUAAUCGGAAUUACUGGGCGUAAAGCGUGCGCAGGCGGUUCUGUAAGACAGAUGCGAAAUCCCCGGGCUCAACCUGGGAAUUGCAUUUGUGACUGCAGGACUAGAGUUCAUCAGAGGGGGGUGGAAUUCCAAGUGUAGCAGUGAAAUGCGUAGAUAUUUGGAAGAACACCAAUGGCGAAGGCAGCCCCCUGGGAUGCGACUGACGCUCAUGCACGAAAGCGUGGGGAGCAAACAGGAUUAGAUACCCUGGUAGUCCACGCCCUAAACGAUGUCUACUGGUUGUUGGGGAUUAAUAUCCUUGGUAACGAAGCUAACGCGUGAAGUAGACCGCCUGGGGAGUACGGUCGCAAGAUUAAAACUCAAAGGAAUUGACGGGGACCCGCACAAGUAGCGGAGCAUGUGGUUUAAUUCGAAGCAACGCGAAGAACCUUACCUACACUUGACAUCCCUUGCAUUACUCUUAAUCGAGGAAAUCCCUUCGGGGACAAGGUGACAGGUGGUGCAUGGUUGUCGUCAGCUCGUGUCGUGAGAUGUUGGGUUAAGUCCCGCAACGAGCGCAACCCUUGUCGUUAGUUACUACCAUUAAGUUGAGGACUCUAGCGAGACUGCCUGGGUUAACCAGGAGGAAGGUGGGGAUGACGUCAAAUCAUCAUGCCCCUUAUGUGUAGGGCUACACACGUGCUACAAUGGCUGGUACAGAGAGAUGCAAUACCGCGAGGUGGAGCCAAACUUAAAAACCAGUCUCAGUUCGGAUUGUAGGCUGAAACUCGCCUACAUGAAGCUGGAGUUACUAGUAAUCGCGAAUCAGAAUGUCGCGGUGAAUACGUUCCCGGGUCUUGCACUCACCGCCCGUCA